rnacentral:lncRNA from 1 species
CGAGGAUGCUGGUUUGAUCCCUGGCCUCAUUCAGUGGGUUAAGGCUCUGGCAUGGCUGCAAGCUGGGGUGUAGGUUGCAGAUGUGAUUGGGAUCCAGUUGUAGCCACGGCUGCGGCAUAGGCCGGCAGCUGCAGCUCUGAUUCAGCUCCUAUCCCGGGACCUUCCAUAUGCUGCAGGUACGGCCGUAAAAAGAAAAAAAAAAAAANAGAAUAUGUGUUUAACUGGUUUGCUCCUCUGCCUCUAGGUUCUCUCUCCCUCCGGGUUCCGGGUAGCAGAUUGAGAUGUGAGAUAAGGAAACGCUUGGGGCACUUAGUGGCAUCCAUUGCCCUGUCCUGUUGGGGGAAGCCCCCCCUCAAGGUGAGCCGCAGUAGCAGAGGUGGGAUCAGAAGACAGAUGUCCCUUAGGCCAUCUUCUCUUGGGGAAGGGAUGCUGCUGUGCUUGGGACUUAAUCUGAACAGAAGAUUAGCAGCAGGCUCACUCCAUUUACUCUAGUGGGUCAGGGGGCGCAGGGCAAACACGCUCCCUCCCAACCAAGAAAAGGAUGGCUGGAAAGUCCUGCCCCCCGCCCGCCCCCCGCCACCGCCCACCAGAGCGACAGCCUGGUUUUCACUGUUGGAGUAAUAAAUUAUGCUUUCUAAGGAUGAGAAUGUCUUCCAGCUGUUGAGUGGUUUAAACUUCCAGAUGUUCCUCUGCCCAGGAAGCAGAGGAGGAUGUCAGUUUGUGCUCUUUGAAAAUUGCUGCACCGAACGGCUCAUUAAAUUUCAGUGACUUGCCUGUGAUCCCCUGGGGAGGGGUAGUAUUUCCCCUAGGGAAGAAGGGACCCGUUUGCCAGGGGGGUAACAGUAAGCGAAGAGAAGUGAACUGGAUUUGUAGGCAGGAGGCUUGAAUGCUGGUUCACCUGGCUGUGUGACUUUGCGCUGACAGUUGACCACUCUGAGCCUUUCGUUUCCGAAGCACUUUUUAAGAACUAGAGGAAGCAUUGUUGUCUGGUAGCCAAAAGGGGCCGUUUAUAUGUUUACUCUUAUAAUCAAUGGGCGGUUGUUGAACUGGAUUUGACCAUGAAAGAGGACAGAGAUUAAGUCCAUCCUCAUUUGUUCGUUUGUUUCUUUUUGGCUGCACAUGCAGCAUCACGUGGAAGUUCCCAGGCCAGGGACGGAACCCAAGCCACAGCAGUGACAACACCGGAUCCUUCACCUGCUGCACCACAAGAGAACUCCCCAUCCUCAUGUUUCAGCUAGAAAUAUAGUGGCCGGAGAGCUUGGGGCCUCUUCAGGCUGUCACUGGACCUGUGCUGUCCCUUGUGUCCACUUUGUGGCUCUUGAGCACUCGAACUGUGGAAACGUCCAAACUGAAAUCUGUUGGAAGAAUGCAGUGUGCACCAGAUUUCUACAUCUUAGGACAAAACAGAGGAUGGAAAAGAAACUCUUUAACACGUGCUCCUAUUGAUUACAUGCUGAAAUAAGGUUUAGCUCUAUUAGGUUAAAUACAAAUACAGUAUUAAAAUUAAGUUUAUCUCUCUCUUUUUGUGAUUUAUUAAUGUGGCUACUAGAAAAAUUUAAACUACCUAUGUGGCUGGCAUUACAUUUCUAUCAGACAGCGCCCAGCUAGACUGCGACACAGACGGCAGCCUUCUGGGCUUUAUCUGCAGGUGAAUUCUAAAAGGUGAAACGCUGGGGACCAGUGUUUGCAUGCUCACACUUCUCAAGAGUCCUCCCUAAACAUCCGAGCUGUAGGUGUGCUAUCUGGACCACUCCCUGUCCUGGGUUUCAGAUUGCCUCCUCCUCUUGAACGACUGGGCUUUAUCCUCAGAGUAGCUGCCUUUUGAACCCUUGUCUUUUUUUUUGGCUGUGCUUGCGGCAUGUGGAAGUUCCCCGGCCAGGAAUUGAACCUGAGCCACGGUAGCAGCCCGAGCCACUGUAGUGACAGCGCCUGAUCCUUCACCUGCUGAGCCACACGGGAACUCCUGCUUUUUGAAGUCUUAGUCAGCUUCGUCAGGCCCCACCCCCAUCCCCCAGUUUCUGAGUUCACUUCCUAGGGAACCCCCAGCCCCCUGCUCCCCUGUGUUCUGGUUACUCUUGGACCUGCCACAGUGUGGGUGGUUCCUGAACUCCCCUCCUCUGCUCUCCUCGGCUCUUCUGGGCUUGCGCCACGUUUUACUGGAUUUCCCCAUCAAUCUCUAAGUUGGCUCCCUUAUUUUGCAGGAUCAUGUAACGUGUUAGGAGCAUAAUUUGAAAAGAAAAUCUAGGCGAAGCAGAUUCCACUCUUGAUCUCAAAUUACACUGUUGCUCAUUUUAUCCAGCAGCCCAGGUCAUCAUUUCUUUUGAAUAAUGCUUAUAUUUAUAGAGGUGAUUUGCUUAGAAGAAUUGGGAAAUGUCAAGAGUAUAAGGAAGAAAAUAAUGUUAACACGUUUGCUGCAUUUCCUUUCUUUUUGCUUUGCGUCUUUCUUUUCAAUGUGAGAUCACUUAAUGUUGACACUUUUAUUGGGUUUUUCCUCUUAAUGUAAUAGAAGUAUUUCCACAUGGUGUUAAAAGCAGGCUUUUAAGUUCAUUUUUCAGGCAACGUAACGUUGUAACAUCCCGUUGCAAGGAUAGUUUGUCAUUUUCCCAAUUUUACCUGUAAUUUUGAGUAUUAAGACCAUUUCCUGUAUUUUUCUCUCAUAACUCGUGCUGAGAUGUGUGUGUCUGAUACGGGUGUGUCUAUACCAAUAUGUGCACAUGUGUGAAUAAACCUAUUCCAUCUUUCAGAUUUCUGGCAGUAGAAUGAUGAGGAAGUCAAAGGUUCUAGAUGGUUUUCAGGUUCUUUUUUUUUUUUUGUCUUUUCUAGGGCUGCUCCCUUGGCAUAUGGAGGUUCCCUGGCUAGGGGUCUAAUCGGAGCUGUAGCUGCUGGCCUACGCCACAGCCACAGCCACAGCCACACCAGAUCCGAGCCGAGUCUGAGACCUACACCACAGCUCAUGGCAACGCCGGAUCCUUAACCCACUGAGCAAGGCCAGGGAUUGAACCCGCAACCUCAUGGUUCCUAGUCGGAUUCAUUAACCACUGAGCCAUGACGGGAACUCCAGUUUUCAGGUUCUUAAUGCACAUCGUUAGGUCACUUUCCCAUUUGGUUUUGCAAAAUUCAGCCACAAAAUAAUGUCAGACAUUUCUCCUUUAUGGAGUUGCUUUCUUACUGUUUUUUUUUUUUUUUCCUUUUUUAAAAUCUAUUUUUCUUUUUUCUUUUUUUAAAACUUUUUUUCUUUUCAUGGCCACUCCCAUGGCAUGUGGAAGUUCCCAGGCUAGAGGUCAAAUUGGAGCUGUAGCUGCUGGCCUCCACCGCAGUCACAGUAGCGCCAGAUCUAAGCCACAUCUGCGACCUACACCAUGCUUUAUUGCUUGGGCCACGGGAGCAGCUUCGUAGGCCUGCAGUGCUGGUUAUGUGCUGAGGUUUGCUGUGGCUGAGUGGGAAGAAUUCUGCCCUGGGUCUGAGGACCAAUCACUGUCCUAUCACCUCAGAUAACUUGGGAAGGUCACUCGGCUUCCAGGCCUCCAUCAACCUUGUUUUGUCAUUGGUUAAGGGUGGAUUAUGACACCUACUUUAGGGCUGCUGGAGGGUGAAACUAGCUAAUAUAAAUCUGACCUCUCAGGAGGGCCCUGCUGUGUUCCGUUGUUACCUGUUUCGGUGGAAAUCAAAAGCAUGGGUCUUGGGUGCCAAACCAAAGGUUUUAGCUUCAGCCUCUCACCCAUUUGCCUGGUUGUGUGUUCCUUGCAGUCGGCCAGCCUUGCUGGGGAUGAAUACCUGCGUCAUAUGACCUGCAGCUCUCCUCCUGUUAUGUGUGUCCCCCCAAAUGCUGAACAGGGGAGAAGUGCAUUUGCAUCCAAGCUAUGUACGGCUUAUCAACUUCGUAACCCGGGACAAUUUGCUUUGCUUCUUGGACCUUAGGGUUUUUUGUUUUUUGUUUUUCCUACAAAAUGGGGAUUAAAAAAAAAAUCCGUCCUUACCUCCUGAGGUGGUUAUGAAGGUUGGACCAGGUGGUGCCUGUAACUCGCUUGGCCUAGCACCUGUCCCUGGAGAGUGCUCAGUAAAGGUAGGUUGACCAAUUACUAGUUAGUUACUGGUGCAUUCCCGCAGACCUGAGCAUUCUCCGGGUUGAGUCCAACCAACCCACAGGGGUAGCUUCUCAAGCUGGGGGUCCAUAGCUCAUGGCAGGUGGGUUUGGAGUUUAGGCUCCUCAAAGUCAGGAGAGACUCAUCCAGGUUUGCCAUUUGAUGGGCGACAAAGGCUUCAGAUGUUUUGUAGUUCUUUUAGAAUUUCCUACGUGUUCCCAUUCAUGUAAAAGGAAGAUCUCUCUUACACACACACACACACACACACACACACACACACACACACACACCUGUGCGCACAUGCGCUCGGACUAUAUCAUGAAGGACGCGCCAAAAAAUGAUAAUAGUGGCUGCUUCUAAAGAGGUUCACUUUUCUUUUUUUUUGGCUUUUUUUUAGGGGCACACCUGCAGCAUGUGGAGGUUCUCGGGGUAGGGGUCAAAUCAGAGCUACAGCUGCUGGCCUACACCACAGCCAGAGAAACAGCAGAUCUGAGCCACGUCUGCAAACUAUACACCACAGCUCACGGCAACGCCGGAUCCUUAAUCCACUGAGCGACGCUAGGGAUGCAACCUGCAACCUCAUGGUUCCUAGUUAGAUUCGUUUCUGCCGCGCCAUGAAGGGAGCUCCUAAAGAGGCUCGCUUCUAAGGAGGCUCACUUGCUAAGCAGGAGGGAAGCUUAGCAUUGACUCUGUGACGCUUUUCAUCUUGCUGGAAGUUUUUAACCUGGAAGUUUUUAACCAUGUGCAUGUAUUAGUUCUUCAGUCACUAAGAAAAAAGUUCUUGGGGGUUCUCUGAACUCCAAGAUCCGGCAUCGUCACUGCUGUGGUGGGGGUUCAAUCCCUGGCCCAGGAACUUCUGCAAGCCGAGGGUGUUGUUAAAAAAACAAAAACAAAAACCAAACCAAACAAAUCCUUCAAAGUCCACUGGGUAGUAAAAGAUCCUUGAAUGCCAUCCUGCUUCCUAAUGUAUUUAUAAGAGGCCCUAGGAGUUUUCAGAAAUCUCUCUGUUUUAUGGCUCUCCAUCUGAAUCCCAGGCCAGCCUCCCCUCACACAGCCCAGCUCUCACCCCCUUGCAGGUAUCCUUCCUGCCUUUCAGAAUCUUCCAGCCUGAGUCCUGGACACCCCCGCCCCCCACCAGACCCCCAGGAGGCUGGCCACCCUCUGUUCCUCCCCUGGGGGUGGCCCGUGUGGGAAGCCCUGAGCCUGACUGAGCAGGCCUGAGGCUGGGGGCCUUGGCUGCCUCCUCCUCAGCCCGCCUCCUGGCCCCUGUGUCUCCUGCAGAAGGAAGAGUCUAUGCAGGCUGUUCCUAUCCUUCUUUGAACCAAGCCCUGUUCCAAGAAUUUCAGGGCCGCUCUGCUUGCAGGGUUGAGCUGCUGCUCCCUCAGGCCCCAUGCUCGGAGGUGGCAGCUCCUUGGAAAGGUUUCUUUUCCUCUUUCUUUCUGGCACAGAGGGUGGAUUCCCUGCCCCGCCCCAGACCAUGCGUCUUAGGGGUUAUUUGAGGUGAGUCCUAAAGAAGCAUCUUGCUCUCUGUGCGUCAGUGGGACAGGAGCAGAAUGCUGAAAACCCCAUCUUCCUCCCUCCCAGAAGCCUUUGGUGCCCCCAGCCCCUGUGGGAAGCCCCUUGCUUGCUCCCCCAGCUGCGUCAUCACAGCCACUGAGCCCGGCUGCUAUAGCCUCCUCCUGUCCUCGGAGGCCAUCUAGUUCAGAGGUGAGCAAUUUUUUUUUUUUUUUAAUCCAACAACCAAUUCAGGAAACAUGAAAGCAUUUUUAGGCCCACUUUUUGGUUUUUUCAUUGAAAUUGAACAUAGCCUUGUGAAUCUUGGGGGUGGGGCUGGGGGCAGGCAUCGGUCUCUCUUCCCAGGGCUUGGAUCAUCCCCUUCCUAAGAGGGAAGACCCUUAUUAUUAUCAUUAUUUUUUGCUAGACAAUGGAAAUAUGCGAUUUAAUAGUUUUCUUUUUUAACAUAUACAUUGAUUUUUUAAAAUUACUCAGUGAAUUUAAUUACAUUUAUAGCUGUACAAUGAUCAUCACAACCCAGUGUUACAGCAUUUCCAUCCCAAACCCCCAGUGCAUCCCCCCACCCCCCAAUCUGUCUCCUUUGGAAACCACAAGUUUUUCAAAGUCCGUGAGUCAGUAUCUGUUCUGCAAAGAAGUUCAUUGUGUCUUUUUUUUAGAUUCCUUAUGUCAGUGAAAGCUUUUGAUGUUGGCGUCUCAUUGACUGACUGACUUCACUUAGCAUGUUAAUUUCUAGGUCCAUCCCUGUUGCCGCAAAUGCCGUUGUUUCUUUCCUUUAAUGGCUGAGUAAUAUUCCAUUGUGUAUAGUACCACAUCUUUGUUAUCCACUCCUCUGUUGAUGGUCAUUUAGGUUGUUUCCAUGUCUUGGCUAUUGCAGAUAGUGCUGCAGUGAACCUUGGAGUACAUGUGUCUUUUCGAGUCAUAGUUUUCUCUGGAUAGACGCCCAGGAGUGGGAUUGCCGGACCAAAUGGUAAUUGUAUUUUUAGUUUUCUGUGGACUCUCCAUACUGUUUUCUGCAGUGGUUGCACCAAUUUACAUUCCCACCAGCAGUGUGGGAUUCCCUUUUCCUCACACCUUCUCCAGCAUUUAUUGUUUGUAGACUUUUUGAUGAUGGCCCUUCUGACCAGAAGACCCUUAUUGAGAAGGGCCAGGAGUUCCCGCUGUGACUCAGCAGUAACAAACCCUACCAGGAUUCAUGAGGACGCAGGUUCAAUCCCUGGCCUCGCUCUGUGGGUUAAGGCUCGUUGUUGCCAUAAGCCGUGGGUAGGUCACAGUUGAAACUCGGACCUGGUAUUGCUGUGGCUGUGGGUAGGCCAGCGGCUACAGCUCUGAUUGGACCCCUAGCCUGGGAGCUUCCAUAUGCCGCAGGUGUGGCCCUGAAGAAAAAAAAAAAAA